GAUGGUAUGGUGCUAAUAUAUGGCAGCCAAAUAAUAAUUAUUAAGUAAAUGAAAAAUAAGUACUACAAUGUCUGUUGUAAAUUUUUAAUGAAAGAAACAUACAUCUUUCUUUUUUCAGAUUUUGGUAAUAUCUUGUACAAGACUGAGAUUUUGAAUGUAUCCAAAAGGCUUUUUCCAAUGCAGUCAUAUCUGGGGGUGCUGGAAGGGUACCCAUUCUGAAUUAGUCCCCCCACUCUAGAAUAUGAUGCAAUUAUUCUGCAGUUUGCCAUUCAGUUAUCCAUUCCUUCAUCCUUAGUGCUACUUUUUUCCAUUUAGUAUUCCUUUAAACUACAAAUACUUUCAUAAGAGAAAUAUAUUAGUCCCUAAUAAUAUGGGGUACAUUUUAUCCGAUCAAAAUCUUCCCAAUAACUAUAAUAAUAGGCUGAGAUAACUUACCAGAAAGCACUAGGAAAAAGAAGCAGAAGCAUGCUAAAAGAAGAUGUAUAGGACUUGAAAGACUACAUUCAUUUCAUAAUUUUCCUGAGAAUAGGUUCAGCUUGCAUGCCCAAUACAGAAAACGUAGAUAGAAUGAGAAGAAUGUCCAACUGUCAGAUACAUGCAGUGGAUCAAAGAACAGAAUUGCAGAGUUUAUAGAACAGAAUCAUAGACAAUGAAGUCACAUAGAUGGGGACAAUAUGAAUAGAUAUGGAUAAUGUAGUUAAAAUGAAAUUAGUUAAAUGAGUGCUCACAUCAGUACAAGAGAGACAAAAGGAAAAUUUUGUAAUCAAAUUCAUUUGGUAGAGACAUAAAAUCUAGAAAGUGAAAAUAAAGUGUUCAAAUAAAGUAAGUUUGAAAAGGAGUUGCAAUAAACACAUUUGCAAAUAUUUUACCUCAUGUUCUUCUUGCUUUCUCCUCUUUCCUUUUCAGUGACUAUUUACAUCUUGGCUUCUCUGUCCACUUUCUCCUUCCUGUGUUAUGUGAAGUCACAUAAUGUAGGUUAGUUUACAGUAAAUUUUACUUUAAGACAUAUUUCAACAAGCAAAUUCCUGUCUCAGAGUGCUUCUGCUCACACUUUUACUCUAGCACUUUCUCAUUAAGUAAUUUUAAUCAACUUAUUUAAUGUUCCUACAACUCAGUUUUUUUCUCCUGUAAAAUAGGCAUAAUAGCUACAGUAAUAAUAUGGUAUUUUACAGGAUUCAUGGGAGGCUCAAAUGAGAUAAUCUGUGAAAAGCACUUAAAUAAUUUCCUAGAGUAUAGCAAGCAUUAAAGAGCACUCUUUACUGAUAUGCUUCCUAUUAUUAGAGAAAGAAAAAGAAGAAUGUUGAAAAUCAUGAUGUCUGUUACAAUGCACAUGUGCCAAGUUUGGAAAUGAGCAUCAAGUUAUUUCUACUUUCUCUAAUAAUAUUACUUCAAGCCCAUGCUUAUGCUUACAUUCAUACACACACAGCAUUUACAUAAUGAUUUAUCAUUUUCAAAGUGUUCUCAAACUCAUUAUUUUAUCUGUUCAUGGGUUAGUGACUUACACGUAGUAUAUGUGAUUCUACAUAUGAUGGAAGACUUACGAUUUUUUUUCCAGAACCCUGACUCUUACGGCAUGUAGAAGGGCACCCUUUCACAUGUGACCCAGGAGCAAAAAAAAAAAAAAAUAUAUAUAUAUAUAUAUAUAUAUAGUGCUUAAUAAGCAAUGUCCCUUGUAUUUUAAUACCCAGUGAACCUGCAUACAUUAACAAAUCUAAAGCAACAUUAUUUUACGUAGCAUGAAGAAGAAAAAAAAACCUGUUUUUAUUGUGAUUACAAGAACCACCAGUUUUAACAGUCAGUCCUAUUUCAGAGAUGUUAAAGUGUUCUUAAAAAUUAAACAUUAACUGGCCAGGCAUGGUGGCUCACGCCUGUAAUCCUAGCUCUUGUGUAAUCCUAGCUCUUUAGGAGGUCGAGAUGGGUGGAUCACCUGAGGUCAGGAGUUCGAGACCAGCCUGGCCAACAUGGUGAAACCCCAUCUCUACUAAAAAUAUGAAAAUUGGCUUGAUGUGGUGGCGGGCGCCUGUAGUCCCAGCUACUCAGGAGGCUGAGGAAGGAGAAUCGCUUGAACCCAGGA
rnacentral:lncRNA from 10 species